AGAAGUGUGUCCUAGUGGUUUGAGCGUUGGACUGUGACUCUAGAGACCGGAGUUCAAAUAUCUGCUCAGCCA